rnacentral:lncRNA from 1 species
CAUGGUGGGUGUCAUCAUGUGGUCGCAUGCCACGUUGAAAUUUAACUCACGCAUUGUCUCGCACGCUGAUCAACCUAUAUAAAAAAUAUGCAAUACAUCACCCGUAGCUAUAUAUAAAAGGAGAUAACAGGAAAAAUCAAUCUGUCAGGAAUUCAAAACUCUAAGAAGAAAGUGAAGCAAACCACCUACCUAUUCCUUGCCGGUCAUCAUGGUAAUGAUGUGGUCGCUGUUGUUCCAAUGAGGACGUUGGUAAGCACUGAUGUACGGGCUCAGCAUAUGGUUGCAGGACGUAAGGGUGCAGUGGGGGGCUGGGGGCAAUGGCUGGGCUGAUGCGCAUCAUAGUUACUCGGGAGGUGGCAGCCAUGUAACAUGUAAAAAAAUGCAAAAGAUAGACAGUGGAGGAGAUGAGCUUGGGGAGAGAUUCGAGAUUCCAUCCUUUGAGACUAACCUACACGUUAAUUAUCAUUAGCUUGUAGCCAAUAACCUGUAGGUCGCAGGUCAUUGUGUUAUGUUGUGGAAGUCGAGGAUGUAGUGUGGCCGGCCGUAGCGAUUCCUGCAUAUUGACUUCGAUCGACACCUGUCAGGAAAGAAAUGGUUGGACUUGAAGUCUUCUUCGCACAGAUCUUGCUACCCCACUAGCAAGACAUAAAUAAUAAAAUCUACACCAUGAUCCAAUUCUGUCAAGAUCCAGAUUAAAGAACACACAUUGAGAAUCUGGGCGGAACACACACAUGCUCAUGUAUGUUGGUGGCCAUCAAUAGACAAACCAAUUCAGGACAAUAGGUAACGUUGGAGAGAAUCAGCAGCAGAAACCCAACCAAGGAGAAGAGCUUGCGGUGAUCUCUUUAAGAUUCAAUCCGUGGAAGCAAGAAAAAAACUGAAUAAAAAAUCAAUGGAGAACCUCAUCCUGAUCCAGAGAGCCAAAACCAAAGGAGAACAUCAUCUUGACCCAGAU